GCCCCUGUCCCGGACAGAGUGGAAUAAGAGCGCCUCCUUCAAUCCCCACUCGCGCCUGCACCCAGAGCACCUGGGACACAGCGGCUCUGUCUUGGAGAACAGGUGCCUCAAUAGGGAGGGCCUGGCCAAACCUAUGCGCGGGAAGUGCGGAGCGGGAUGCAGGGGUGGGGCGGCAGGUGCAGGUAGUAGAGCCCAGGCAUGCGGUUGGGGGGUGGGGGGAAAUCUCACGUGCGAUCCCAGGUGCGGAACCCGCUGCUGGGAAUGGGGUGGAAGCAAAACAGGUACUGCACGCACAGGCGAGGUGCCUCGUGGGGGAAUCGAAUGUCAGGGAUGGUGGACAGUGCGGAUGGGCGGCAGGUGCUGGGGCUCAGGGGAGAUAACUCAGAGGCAGGCUCGGUGGAGAACCCAAGGCCGGCGACCAGGUGCAGGCGGCCCACAGGCCCUGGAGGCAUACAGCGGGGGGACAAGGUGGGAAGGAGGCCUAUGCCCCAAGAGCUCAACCUGUGCUGCAUCCAGGCCAGCUGCCACCCAGGGUAUGGGCCGCAGAUGCCCUAGGAUCCUUGCUGAUGCAUGAUGCAUACCGGUGCCCAGCGUGAGAGCCAUGGGAAGGCAGCACGCAGCCCUGGCUCUCCCGCCCAGGCCCCUGAUACCAGGCCAGAGAAAGACCCGCCACUAAGAGCUCAUUUCCCCCUGGCCGGAGACCCAGGGGUCUGUGGACUGCAGCGCUAGGGUCCAUGCCCAGGUACCCAUAUUCCUCAGUGGCCUCUGCCCACUGACCACCCCCGCUCUCUCCCUCACUGCUGAAUGUCCAGGACCUUACUCGACAAACACCCAUAGUUGUUCGAGGAGGAGUUAAUGUACUGAUGGAUGGAUGCAGGCAUUUGCUCAUUGACAUCACUGCCCACCCCACCAUCUGCUUGCCUUCUGGCCAUGCUUCAAGCAGGCACUUUGGAUACUGGACUGUCUUCUGUGAAUGUGGCUUUGGGCAGCACUAAUAACAAGAGCUAGUUACAGGGCCUCACUGUGUGCCAGGCACUGCACUGUGUACACUCUUACCUGUCCUGGUCGUUCAAUGAUUAAAUAUGCAGAUCUAGGAGGUGGCUCUUACAGAUGGGGAAGCUGAGGCAGAGAGAGGCAGAAUAACUUGCACACGGGCACACAGCUAGAAGACAAGCUAGCACCUGGGAAGUC
rnacentral:lncRNA from 1 species